AUGCUUUCCGAUCAACCUUCAGUGUCGUCGCCACCCUUGCAACCACCCGACAUCACCUCAUCUCAAUCACCACAACCAAGCCCUAUUAACAAAAACCCUAAUUUAAUCCCAAAUUUCAAACCCUCUUCACUCUUCCACUGUUAUACCUCCUUUCUUUGGAACCAUAGAAUCUCCAAACAAACAAACAAACAUCCGUACAUUGAUUUAAAAGAGUAUCAGUUACGCUAUGAACUUCACAGCCACAAAGACGACGUUUGUGGAAUAACCAUCUGCGGAAACAGAGACAUAGCAACCCCAUCCUUCACUAAGAGGUUGAAGUCCAGUCUUCCAUGA